rnacentral:lncRNA from 1 species
CCGCAGGUUAUGUCAAUCAUCUGUUUGCCCAGGAUUUUGCUCGCGAAGCUCAUUGAUGUGUUGUUGGAUAAAUGGCUCCAUUAUCUCUAGCUGAUGUAGGAUGCUGUGAUGUGCCUCAAGUACUGUAACACCCUGGGGUCCACAAACACCCCGGAAUGGUACUAAACAACACUUCUGACAUCUAUAUAUAAAAUUUCGGCAGCAUCCCCUUUGCAAAAUUGCAUAAAUGAGGGGGCAACAGUGUAUAAACAUAUAUCAUGACAAAAACAUACUAAGUAUUAUUAAGCGGCUUGCAAAGAGAAAUUAAACAUACGACAUGAACUGAAUUAACUAGUGCGCACGACUAGUAAAAAACAAACUUCCUUUGACAAUAAGUUUCUAAUUAAAUCAUGGCUGCACCUGGGCAGCGUUAUUGUGAGAGUGAAAGUGGACGUGCUGCUACUCCCCUCAUUCCCAACAUGUAUCAAGUACCUGCAUUGAGUAAUGCAAGAGUGAGAUGACACAUCUCAGCAAGUAAAAUAAUAUCAAACUGUUUAACCACAUAAGAACAUUGUUUUACCACCACUUGAUUCCACAACUUUCUUAUUACGAAGGUGCAGCACGUAUACAACGUACAACACACCUAGUCACCACACCGCGCAGGUAGAAACCACAAUAGUAACAUAGUAAUGUCACACUUCAUAUAUACCUCAUGAGUGCAAAUGUCUGCAAAUGCAAGGAUGACUUCUGCCUUCAUACCUCUAAGGAUAUGAAGCCGCAUCGUACCCCUCCUCGGGCAACGUACGAUGCUAAAAAUGUACCGGUACGGUCGGACCAUAAGAUCACGACAUAACUUCAAAAUGCAAGAUGGAUGAUGCGAUGUGCAUGUCAUGCCUACAACACUUCAUAUAACGUGAUUCCCAAAAAAAGAUACUUCAACUUCAUCCAAGAUGGGAAUCAACCACAUAUAUCAUUACCAAACUAUGAUCAUCCCCAAUAUUAAACAAUUGAGAAUUAAUACUUCCAAACAAAUAAACUUCAUCAUAGAAUUCAAUGAUUAACAUAAUUAAAACUUAUGCAUACUUAAUGACAGGGAAUAGGAUGCAAACCAAACGGUAGCAACCACCACUGUAUUUACUUGCCUUUACCGGAAGUUCGGGCAAAUCCCUAAGUACGAUCCGGAAGUCCACCACCUGUUUUUGACACACAACUUAGUGCACCAAUUUCACAUAAUUAGGCUCAUAAACGACGCCGCUCCUACGCACAAACUCAAACCCCGCCGCGGGUUACAUCUCUCCCCACACCCACCAAACUGCAGCGGCGCUGCUUAAUAAUUUCAUAACUUUAAAAUUAUGACAGCAGUGGUAACAAACAAAAACUCUAGAGGCAUCUACAUAAAAUUCCCCACAAGUUUUGUAUACAAUUUAUAAUUAAAUUUCAACAUCUAAUUAGUCCAAAACAGUCCACAAGAUGAAUCCUGUAAUCUGUUUUUUUGUCCUUUGGACAGCGACAUAUCCGGAUUCAAACAGCGAUAUCUUUUAAAAUAUAAAUCCAAAUCAAGUGCAUAAGUACUCAUUGGAAAGAUAAGACAAAGCCCUAUAUGAUUAUCAUAUUGGUUAACACUAAUUACCCACGAAAAAUUCCCAGAAACUGCUAAUACUACUGCUGUUCACCCACCUGAAAAAUCUGUUUUUUGGACAACAACAUAACCGGAUUCAAACAGCGGUAUCUCCUAAAUUACAACUCCGAAUCGAGCGCAUAAGUACUCGUUGGAAAGGUAUGACAAAGCUCUACAUGAUUAUCAUAUUGAUUAUCACUAAUUUCCCACGAAAAAUCCCCAGAAUCUGCUAAUACUAAUGCUGUUCGCCCACCUGCGGAAAUCUGUUUUUUUGGACAGCAACAUACCCGGAUUCAAACAGUGAUAGCUCCUAAAUUAUAACUCCGAAUCAAGCGCAUAAGUACUCGUUGGAAAGGUAUGACAAAUCUCUACAUUAUUAUCAUAUUGAUUAUCACUAAUUUCUCACGAAAAAUCCCCAGAAUCUGCUAAUACUAAUGCUGUUCGUCCUCCCACAAAAAUCUGGACAGCACCUAUACCGAUUCGCAUAGGUAAACAUGUAAUCAAUUGGAUUGCAGCACAAAUACUAAAAAGAAUGAUCUUAAAAUCACCUUGGGUUCCUCCUUUCCUCCUUCCUUUCUUCCUUCUUCCUCCCUCCAAACUCCAAUGGAAGACUCGCACCCAUACGACGGGGUACCAAGCGGGGAGGCUGCACCAUGGAGAGGAGGAGGGGGGGGGGGCGGCUAGGGUUGAGGGGUGGUGCUGCAAUCACUUGGGGAGGAAGGAGAGGGAGAGAGAGAGGGGGUGGCGGCUACAAAGGGGAAUAGGGGAGGGGGUGGCGGCUGCAACCAAAGG